rnacentral:lncRNA from 1 species
GCCUCAUCUUCCCACCACCCCCCAGGACCCCAAAGAGGCAGCAGGGCCCGAGCUGAGGGCGCAGCGCGUGACCCCGAGCGGAAGGGCCCCAGUCUGGGUCCUAAUGCGGGUGGCGUCUCCCUUGACAGGCAGAGUUUGGGGACAACAGCGGGGACGGGAGAUAAGGUGACAUACCAGAGCAGAUUUGGUGCACACGCUGAUACUCCUCGCCGGACAGGAAACGCGGAGCUAUUUAAAAGACCCUAUCGAUUACUUUAUCUCUCCUGGAGGAAAGCUUCUUGCCGAGAGACAAAAGAUGUCCCCUACCUAAAGAUACAGGGCCACACAGCAGAAGGACUGCCCAGGCGACGUCCAGCUAGGGCACCGGGAGAGCAGACUCAGUUUACACCGUGGAGUGCACGAAUACGUGCGCGCCAGGAGCAGCCUGGAGCCCUGUAGGAGCGGAGGGGACAGCAAAGGGCACUUCACCAUGUCGCCUCUGUACCCUUGGAAAAUUUUUUUGACCGUGCGCUCGUAAAACACACGCAAAGAGAGACAAAAAGUGACUGUGCGCUCAGGGAACACGUUUGUGUCCUCGCGUGGUCUCAGUAUGCUAAAGCACACCAGCAUGCACAUUCGAAGCCGUUUCUGGUCGCUGUGAACGAGCCCACCGAUGCAGGUCUACAUCGUAAACGCUGCAUUGUGCUCCUUUUAAGGGCUUGAAUAUCUACAACCGUCACGUGUACGCUCAAAGUAGGGGAUGGGUCAAUUACGCUCAUUUGGCGUUCGAAUCCCCGCAUUUUGCCAAUUUUGUCAGGCGAACCGAAGGCUCUCGGCGACAUCCUGCUGCCGGUCCUUAAUGUGCUCCGGAAUCCCGGAGCUCGUUGGCCUCCUGGCCCCCCGCGUCAUGCCCCUGGACACUCUCCAUAGAAACUGAUGGAACCCAGUUGUACGGAAUCGAAUGGGGCUUUUCCAGUGCCCCGAUUUCCCAUCUAUUGGUCACCGCAAGCUCCGUUGGGCAGUGGAAAUGUCGCAGCCCUUCCUCAGAGCAGGUUGAAAGGAAGAAAGCCGGUGAAGAGGGAGUCAGGGCGGCGACCUGGGAAGGUUUGAUCGUCCGCCCACCCGGCGGUUUCCAGCCAGAAUUAGACACUGGCCAGGCAUCAGCCUGCGGGAGGGAGACGCUCCCGGGACCGCGGCUGGGGCUCAGCCGGAGCCAGGGUCCGUCCAGACCCGCGACACUUCAUCUUCCCCCGAGCUGUGCCGGAUCACCCAAGCCCAGCCCCCAGCUCGCCCCUGCGCUUUGGACAAAAACUGGAGGCAGUCAGCCCAAGAAGCUUGGCGUUUACCAGCCCGAGCGCCCAGCCUAAAGUUCUUCCAAACCGCGGCUCACCAGGUUCGCGCCCGCUGGGCAUUUUCCUCUUCAUCAUUUUCUGAAUCGUCAUCUCUCCGACUCGAAUGUCACCUGAUUUUCCCAGCUGUGGCCUCCUACGACGGGAUCCUAAAGGACUGCGCCCUGCCUCUCCACGCGGUGUUCGUCACGGGGCGGUGGCAGCCGUCGGGGGAGCGGGGAUGGAAUGUCCUCGGCCGGCCGCCGAGCCCGGGGAGGAAAGAGGGCGAAAUUAAUGCGAAAGGACAACGGAAGUUGAAAAGUGACUCCCUCGGACCCGGCAGCCCUAAGACGAGUUUUAAAAUCGAUCAUGCCCAAUGACCCAGGACAAAUUCGGUUUUAGAAACUUACUCCCAAAAACAUUAGGAAAGUGACUUCCACCAAGAUACCAACAAAACCCGCCAACAGCAAGAAUGCAAAGGAAACCGCAGAACUCAGUUGCUCUCAGAGGACAAAAAAAAAAAAAAAUGCAUUCUACGAUAUAACUUAAUUAGCAACAAAUAAAAUUCACAGAAAAUAUCUUCAGACCCUUUAAAAAAUACCUUUAAAAACCAGUGACAGUCUGUGUGGCAAUUAACUAGGAAGAAGCAGGAAAAAAAAAAAAAAACCUUUGGGAUGAUGUCAAUGUUUCUCUUCUCUUGAUUAUUGGUGGUCUUUCCACAAGCUCAGGCACGUGUCCCAGAGCUGUGGAAAUGUAGCUCCAACUGUUCAUUUUGUUCUAAGAACAUUAUGCCUUGAUAAAGUGGGUUUUAAAACCAGGGCUUUCCUAGCACAUGCAAAGCCUUGAGUUGGAUCCCCAGCACCCAGAGGAGGGAGGAGGAGAAAACCCAAAUAAGCCUUUGGGGGAGGUAAUUGGGUGACAGUGGGAAAGACCUGGUCCCCUGAGUCCCCCUUUUUUUACAUGCUUGUUUUGUGUUGUUUUUACGAUGUAUUACUUGUUU